rnacentral:lncRNA from 1 species
AAAAUUUAACUUAUAAGUUUAAUUGUACUUUUUUUCCUCUCAUGGUUAGUGUGAAAUUUUGUUUCUCUAUAUUUUUAUUUUAAUGUAGUUCCUUAAUUUUUAAAUUGGUGAAAUCAAGUUUCUUACUUUUUUUAUCACUACAAUUAAUCAAGUCCUUCAGCCACUUUUCUUUUGUUUAAAAAAUUCAAAUUUUAUUUUAUUUUCUCAAAGUCUCACUAUUAUAUAUUAUUAUUUAAUUAGAAAUUAAC